CCUACGGGGGGCUGCAGUGGGGAAUAUUGGACAAUGGGCGAAAGCCUGAUCCAGCCAUGCCGCGUGUGUGAAGAAGGCCUUCGGGUUGUAAAGCACUUUCAGUGGGGAAGAAAGCCUUGGGGCUAAUACCCUCGAGGAAGGACAUCACCCACAGAAGAAGCACCGGCUAACUCCGUGCCAGCAGCCGCGGUAAUACGGAGGGUGCGAGCGUUAAUCGGAAUUACUGGGCGUAAAGCGCGCGUAGGCGGUCUGAUAAGCCGGUUGUGAAAGCCCCGGGCUCAACCUGGGAACGGCAUCCGGAACUGUCAGGCUAGAGUGCAGGAGAGGAAGGUAGAAUUCCCGGUGUAGCGGUGAAAAGCGUAGAGAUCGGGAGGAAUACCAGUGGCGAAGGCGGCCUUCUGGACUGACACUGACGCUGAGGUGCGAAAGCGUGGGUAGCAAACAGGAUUAGAUACCCGUGUAGUC
rnacentral:rRNA from 1 species